rnacentral:rRNA from 1 species
UACGGGGGGGAGCAAGCGUUGUUCGGAUUGACUGGGCGUAAAGGGCGCGUAGGCGGUUCGUACAGUCAGACGUGAAAUUCCUGGGCUCAACCUGGGGGCUGCGUUUGAUACGUGCGGACUUGAGUGCGGAAGAGGGUCGUGGAAUUCCCAGUGUAGAGGUGAAAUUCGUAGAUAUUGGGAAGAACACCGGUGGCGAAGGCGGCGACCUGGUCCGAUACUGACGCUGAGGCGCGAAAGGCGUGGGGAGCAAACAGG